UCGGAUGUGGUGUAUGGCGCACACCCACUGCGAACAGCCAUGAAGUGCGAUUUCAACGGGGAAGCCUGGGUUCGACUCCCAGCAUCCGAA